rnacentral:rRNA from 1 species
GACGAACGCUGGCGGCGUGCCUAAUACAUGCAAGUAGAACGCACAGUUUACACCGUAGCUUGCUACACCAUAGACUGUGAGUUGCGAACGGGUGAGUAACGCGUAGGUAACCUGCCUGGUAGCGGGGGAUAACUAUUGGAAACGAUAGCUAAUACCGCAUAAUAUUAAUUAUUGCAUGAUAAUUAAUUGAAAGGUGCAAUUGCACCACUACCAGAUGGACCUGCGUUGUAUUAGCUAGUAGGUGAGGUAACGGCUCCCCUAGGCGACGAUACAUAGCCGACCUGAGAGGGGGAUCGGCCACACUGGGACUGAGACACGGCCCAGACUCCUACGGGAGGGAGCAGUAGGGAAUCUUCGGCAAUGGACGAAAGUCUGACCGAGCAACGCCGCGUGAGUGAAGAAGGUUUUCGGAUCGUAAAGCUCUGUUGUAAGAGAAGAACGGGUGUGAGAGUGGAAAGUUCACACUGUGACGGUAUCUUACCAGAAAGGGACGGCUAACUACGUG